CCUACGGGAGGCAGCAGUGGGGGAUAUUGCACAAUGGAGGAAACUCUGAUGCAGCGACGCCGCGUGAGUGAAGACGGUCUUCGGAUUGUAAACCUCUAUCUGCGGGGAAGAAAAUGACGGUACCCAAAUAGGAAGCUCCGGCUAACUACGUGCCAGCAGCCGCGGUAAUACGUAGGGAGCGAGCGUUGUCCGGAUUUACUGGGUGUAAAGGGAGCGUAGACGGGCGGGAAUGUUGAAUGUUAAAACUACCGGCUAACCUGGGAGCUGCGUUUAAAACUUCUAGUCUUGAGUGAAGUAGAGGCAGGCGGAAUUCCUAGUGUAGCGGUGAAAUGCGUAGAUAUUAGGAGGAACACCAGUGGCGAAGGCGGCCUGCUGGACUGUAACUGACGCUGAGGCUCGAAAGCGUGGGGAGCAAACAGGAUUAGAUACCCGUGUAGUC
rnacentral:rRNA from 1 species